CAUUCAUUGGAUGCUCAUACUUCCUAUCAAGCUACAAAGAGCAAGUUAUAGCUUAUCUGGAGGCUAAAAACCCGAGUGUCGUAAUUUAGCUCAAGAGGAGUCCAUUUUGAUGGGAAAUGACCCAAAGAUUGAGACAUGUUGAUCUACAGAUCCACAUGGUCACCAGAAUUUAGCCAAAUUCCAUCGUUUAGGGCCUCAAAUGGCCAUUUUUAUCGUUUUAGGAAAGUGUUUGUUUUCUUAAUAAACCCUUCGCGGAUCAAGGGUAAGUUGGAACGGUGUGGAAGCUAAGUUAGCUGCAUCAUGCUCCACGAGCAUGCUUGGAAGGACAAAUGGACGUGCAUUUAUCGAUAUUUUAGGCCCGGAUCGUAACUUCAUCAUGGCGCAUCGGGAAAGUUACGGCGUGCGGGGCAACGCGCCAAAGGCGUAAUUUUCCGGUCCGUCACAUUAAUAGUCAUUGACCUGAUAUGUGUGUUACUUUGUUUGAGCACCAAUCCCUCCAUCCUUGCAUGAAUCUUACUGUGUUUCUUUUCCAUUACUGUUUAAAUGUUUUUGGGGUUAUUGGAAUAAGGAGGCUGCUUUAGUUGCUUCUGUCCUUUCUCGACGUUCACAACCUUAAGUCCCUCCUUUAAUAAGACUAAUGCAUAUUAGUAGUUAGGCUUACACUGUGUUUAUUUUUGUUUUUAGUUUUUACGUUCAUCAUGCUUGAUAUAAUUCCUGAAUGAGAAGGUUAUUUCCAUAGGUAGUAAUGGCUCUCUAUUCAAUUUCGUAUCCUUAGUUUAUCAUCUUGGCAUAUAAGCAUAUUAGGCAUUCAGCAUCAGGGAACAAAAUUUUGGCAUAUAAGCAUUGGCCUCUUGAAUCUUUUGACCCAGGUACAAAUUGGAGCCUGAAUCCAUUCCUAUUGAUUCGAAUACUAUUAGUACUAAUGUCUUCUUACAGAAAAUGCAGCUGGCUAAAACAAGAAAAUUUUGCUUUGAAUGCGUCGUCAUUGAUCAUGACCCUGAAGAUAACCUAGAUAAGGAUUUUAAUGGAGCUAGUAAAGGAAGUAGAAAUUCACUUGCUAUGAGUAGAGUGGAGAAAAGCGAACAAAUAGAGAUUUGGUAUAAAAUUCAAGACAGAGAAGGUAUGGGUGGUAAUAAUGUUCAGACUUCAGAGUAACGUUUCUACCAAUAGGAGGGGUUCAAUUGCUGCUGCUAUUGUGGAUGUAGCUGCAGAGAUCCGGGGAAGCUCUAGGUGGCAUGGUCAGACAGCUUUCGAUGGAUCAGUUUGACUCCACAGAGCGCCAUAACGGCUAAGAAUCUAAUGGAUAGACAAUUGUGUGUCACUAUGGUGGCUUGGAAGCCACAGAUGAUCGAAGCAGAUGACUACAUAAUGAAAUUGGCUAGACAUGCAAAGUUAUCAGAUCAUUUUAUGUUAACAAAAUUCACCAGAUGCACAUGCCGGAUGCUUAUAUGUGGGUUUGUUUGAACUUGGUUGAUUUUUUGCUUUGCCUACACUCUUUCUUACUAAGAAGAAGUGAUGAGAGUGGUAAUACUUGCUUAAUUAGUAUCUCCUUCAAUUCAUUUGCCUUCUGUAAUUUUACUCAAGUCCGUUUUUGUUGUCCAAAUAGUCAUAUAUGGGACUGUUUAUUUUGAGUUAAUUUUCGAUUACGUCUAACAUUAUUAUUGUUUACCCCAUUUUUCUUAACUGGUCUGCGUUGAAAAGCAUAUUGAUGUUCAAGGUCUGAAUGUUUGUAUCACUCUUUAUACAAAUGAUCCAUAUCUGUAGUAAUUGACAUCAAUAUCAACUGCUUGCACUAAUUUGCUUUUAUUUUAAGUAAUGUCAGACCAUUGGGUGUGUAACAGGAACAUGGUAG